rnacentral:rRNA from 1 species
GCCAGCGACGAUAGCACGUUGAAUACAUCAGUUCCCUAUGGAUCACUGAAGUCAAGUAACGUCGCGCGUGGCUAGUAUCCGGAUGGGUGAUCAUCUGGGCAAUUGCGUGCUGGUU